rnacentral:rRNA from 1 species
UACGUAGGGACCAAGCGUUGUUCGGAUUUACUGGGCGUAAAGGGCGCGUAAGCGGCGCGGUAAGUCACUUGUGAAAUCUCUGAGCUUAACUCAGAACGGCCAAGUGAUACUGCAGUGCUAGAGUGUGGAAGGGGCAAUCGGAAUUCUUGGUGUAGCGGUGAAAUGCGUAGAUAUCAAGAGGAACACCAGUGGCGAAGGCGACUACCUGGCCUGAUUCUUGACGCUGAGGCGCGAAAGCUAGGGGAGCAAACGGG